UGUGCUUGCACAGAUGACGACCGGCGCACGGGUGCGUAACGCGUAUAGAACCUACCUUUUACAGAGGAAUAGCCUUUAGAAAUGAAGAUUAAUGCCUCAUAGUAUUGUAGACUGGCAUCAGUUUAUAAUUAAAGAUUUAUCGGUAAAAGAUGGCUAUGCGUCCUAUUAGUUAGUUGGUAAGGUAACGGCUUACCAAGACAGCGAUAGGUAGGGGUCCUGAGAGGGAGAUCCCCCACACUGGUACUGAGACACGGACCAGACUCCUACGGGAGGCAGCAGUGAGGAAUAUUGGACAAUGGAGGAGACUCUGAUCCAGCCAUGCCGCGUGUAGGAAGAAUGCCCUAUGGGUUGUAAACUACUUUUAUACAGGAAGAAACACUGGUAUGUAUACCAGCUUGACGGUACUGUAAGAAUAAGGACCGGCUAACUCCGUGCCAGCAGCCGCGGUAAUACGGAGGGUCCGAGCGUUAUCCGGAAUCAUUGGGUUUAAAGGGUCCGCAGGCGGUCUAUUA
rnacentral:rRNA from 1 species